GUACAUCAAGAAAGCAGCUGGGGUUGACAAAGGGAGCACACGUCCGGGGCACUUGACGGUAACGACGCUUUCGGUGAGACACUUAUACGAGAUAGCUAAGGUGAAGCAGACGGAUCCAUUCUGUCAGUAUAUGCCUCUGGAGUCGAUCUGCAAAUCUAUCAUUGGUACUGCCAACUCCAUGGGAAUCAAGAUUGUUCAGGAUUUGGAGUGAUUAAAGAGGUUAUUGCUUAAUCAUACUAUUUAUUCCUCAUUACCUUAUUUAUUAAUUGAUUUUGUGACGAAAAUACUAAUUCUCAACCAAAAUGAAAGAAUAUCAAACCUGACCGCAGUCGCUAUGGACUAGACCCAUUGAUACACCUAGUGUGUCGAAACAUCCCAAAUCCAUGAGGUUUAGUUUACACAUUAGCUAGUGUGUG
rnacentral:lncRNA from 1 species